rnacentral:rRNA from 1 species
GACGAACGCUGGCGGCGUGCUUAACACAUGCAAGUCGAACGGAAAGGCCCUGCUUUUGUGGGGUGCUCGAGUGGCGAACGGGUGAGUAACACGUGAGUAACCUGCCCUUGACUUUGGGAUAACUUCAGGAAACUGGGGCUAAUACCGGAUAGGAGCUCCUGCUGCAUGGUGGGGGUUGGAAAGUUUCGGCGGUUGGGGAUGGACUCGCGGCUUAUCAGCUUGUUGGUGGGGUAGUGGCUUACCAAGGCUUUGACGGGUAGCCGGCCUGAGAGGGUGACCGGCAGGAGUGGGAAUGAGAGACGGGAGAGAGUAAGACGGGAGGAAGCAGAGAGGGAGAGAGCACAAUGGGCGGAGGACGUAAGCAGAAAGGGAGAGUGAGGGAUGAAGAACGUCGGGUUGUAAAGCGAUUGCACGAGUGAAGAAGGGGGAGGAAAGGGAAAGGAUAAAGAGGAAACGGGAACAAAAAUA